UACGGGGGGAGCAAGCGUUGUUCGGAUUUACUGGGCGUAAAGGGCGCGUAGGCGGCCUGUGUAAGCCAGAUGUGAAAUCCCCGGGCUCAACCUGGGAAUGGCAUUUGGGACUGCAAGGCUGGAGUUUGGCAGAGGAGACUGGAAUUCCCGGUGUAGCAGUGAAAUGCGUAGAUAUCGGGAGGAAUACCGAUGGCGAAGGCAGGUCUCUGGGCUAUAACUGACGCUCAUGCACGAAAGCGUGGGGAGCAAACAGG
rnacentral:rRNA from 1 species